rnacentral:rRNA from 1 species
CUGCUGGCUUUAUGUCAGCAUUCCCAGGCUAGAGCCUGGGAAGGGGAACCCCCCGAAUUGAAACAUCUUAGUAGGGGGAGGAAAAGAAAGCAAUUGCGAUGCCGGAAGUAGCGGCGAGCGAAACCGGCACAGGGCAAACCGAACACCUUAGCGAAAAGCUAAGGUGGAUGUGGAGUUGCAGGACCAGGGUACUCCCUCGCCCAUCGACCUGAAGUCCGGUGGAAGUCCGGCACCGUAGAGGGUGAUAGUCCCGUAAGGGAAGAUGGGAAGGGAGAUUCCUGGUAUCCUGAGUACCACUGCUUGGUUUGGCAGUGGGAAGCUGGGUGGCACUAACAUCCAACUCUAAAUACGUCCCAAGUCCGAUAGCGAACUUAGUAUCGUGAGAGAAAGCUGAAAAGUAGGGCGAAAGCCCGGUGAAAAGAGCCUGAAACCAGGUAGCCACAGUCAGCCAGGGCACGAAAGGUGCUUCCCCGAAGUAGCUUAAGCUACGAGGGGAAGCUUACAGUGUCCUGGCGUCCGUUUGGAAAAACGGGCCAGGGAGUGUAGGUGAGUGGCGAGGCUAAGGGGUUUAAGCCCCGGAGCCGGAGCGAAAGCGACAUGCGCGUAGUGGCUUUAUGCCACGUGGCGCGGGGUCUGAAAGGGCCCGGAGUCACUCACCUACGACCAGAAGCCGGUCGAUCUAGCCCUGGGCAGGGCGAAGCGAGGCGAAAGCCUCGUGGAGGCCCGCUACCGGUGGUGAGAUCCCAAUCCCUCGGGUGACCUGGGGCUAGGGGUGAAAAGCCUAACGAGAUCGGCGAUAGCUGGUUCCUCCCGAAAUGUGUCUCAGCACAGCCCGGCCUGAGUGAGCCCAUGGGGUAGAGUUACUGAUUGGAUGGCCAAGGGCCGAAAGGCUCAGCCAUCCUGUCAAACUCCGAAUCCAUGGGCCACGUAGAAGGCCGGAGUGAGGGUACUGGGGUAAGCUUGGUACCCGAGAGGGUAAAAACCCAGACCAGGGUUAAGGGCCCUAAGUGCGGACUAAACGAUGAAGGGAGUGGCAACCCUCAGACAGCGGGGCCGUAGGCUUAGAAGCAGCCAUCGGCUAAGGAGUGCGUAAGUGAAAUAAUUCGAUGAAGAUUUCAGCCUUGAAUGAUAUUUAUGAUUUGAAAAGGAAUCUGAGAAUUAUUCACCGCAAAACAGCUCACCCGCCGAGGGUUGCUGCCCUGAAAAUGGAAGGGACUAAGCCCGCCCCCGAGACCCUGGAGGGCGAUAAGCCCUGGUAGGGAGGCGUCCUGCGUGGGUAGAAGCUGGGGCGUAAGCUCCAGUGGACCACGCAGGAAUGAAGAUCCUGGCGAGAGUAGCAGCAAAGCCGGGUGGAAAUCCCGGCCCCCUGAAGGCCAAGGGUUUGCCGGCAAUGGUCGUCAGCCGGCAGUUAGCCAGUCCUAACCCAAGCCUUAAUCGAGCUUGGGGCUAGGGAAACCGGUUAAUAUUCCGGUGCCUCGAGGGUACGUGCGGCAACGCAAGCCCGACUCUUGACGCUUCGGGGUAGGCCGACGUAAGCCAAGCACUGAAGCCCCUGGAGUCUCGUAAUGAGGAGAAGGGGGUGAAGGUGUAAAGGGCUGCGCGUAUGCGCAGUUCGGCCGAUCCCUGGAGCCCGUGAAAAGGGAGUCGGGAAGGAUCCCUCGAGACUGUACCGAGAACCGGCACAGGUGGCCGUCCUGAGAAGGGAAAGGGGUGUCGGGAGAACCCGACCCAGGGAACUCGGCAAAUUGGCCCCGUAUGUUCGCUAGAAGGGGUGCCUGCGACCCUAACCUACCUGAAUGCUGAAAAAGCAUAAGGGUAGGAAGGGGUCGCAGGUCGCAGUGACAAGGGGGAGGCGACUGUUUAACAAACGGAAAGAGGUGAUGAGUUACAGGAUUUCUGAAAGAUGAAGAAGUUGAUCUACUCUGAUCAUCUCUUUCCGGUUAAAAAACGCAGGUGGCCGCUAGGCCGAAAGGCUGAGUACGGCCACUGAGGCCUGCCCGGCGCGGGUGUGUGAAGCCCGGGUUCAACCGGGUUAAGCCCCCGCAAACGGCGGCGGUAACUCUGACCGUCGUAAAGUAGCGUAAUCCCUUGCCGCUUAAUUGGCGGCCCGCUUGAAGGGCUUAACGACCUCCCCGCUGUCCCGGGUCGGGACCCGGCGAAAUCGCUGUCCUGGUGAAUAGGCCAGGGACCCCCGGUGGGAAGCGAAGACCCCGUAGAGCUUUACUGCAGCCUGGCGCUGCCGUUCGGUUAGGAUUGCAUAGAGUAGCUGGGACCCGCUAUCAGGCGUAGGCUCCGGCCGAAGCCGAGGGGCAAGUGUAACACCAGCCUUUCCUAACCGAGCGGCUAACCCGAAAGGGGACACCGCCAGGUGGGCAGUUUGGCUGGGGUGGUACGCCCCCGAAAAAGUAUCGGGGGCCUCCAAAGGUCGGCUCACCCGGGUCAGAAAUCCGGGGUAGAGUAUAAGCGCAAAAGCCGGCCUGACUGGAUCCCGCCCAGCGAGGGAUCCAGCCGCGAAAGCGUGGGCUAGCGAGCAGCCGACUCCUAUUGGUGGGGGUCGGCUGUGUGAGAAAAGCUACCUCGGGGAUAGGCUAGCUAAAUAUUUAAAUACAAAACUCUAAACUAAAUUUAUGAAAUGGACAAAAGAAAUUGCCUUUCUUAUAGGAGCGUUAGAAGAUGGCUCACUCAUUAAAAGAGCGAAAAUAGGUGACUUUUCCGUUGAAAUUGAACAAAAAGACAAAAAAUGGUUAGAAAAAAUUGCAGAAAAUUUUAAAAAAGCUUUUUCCAUUACCCCUACAAUAACUUACAGGAAAGAUAAAAAUGUAUGGAGACUACGAGUAUAUUCAAAAAAGAUUGUAGAAAAAUUAGAACAUUACCAAAAGAAUCUUGAGGAACUCUUGUACCAAUCAUUAGAAAUACAGAAAUCUUUUCUACAAGCUGUAUAUGAUGCUGAAGGUUCUGUAGACAAGAAUAAAUGGAGAAUAACUCUUUCUAAUAAAAAAAUUGAAC